rnacentral:rRNA from 1 species
CACCGCGGUUAUACGAGAGGCUCAAAUUGAUACUCCACGGCGUAAAGCGUGAUUAAAGAAAAUAAACACUAAAGCCGAACACCUCUUUUAGCUGUUAUACGCCCAAAAAGACACGAAGCCCUACAACGAAAGUGGCUUUAACCAAAAAUCUUGAACUCACGAAAAUUAAGAAA